rnacentral:misc_RNA from 1 species
AACCGAUCUUUCUAGGUAAACACUGACAACUCACGUUGCGAACGCAGACCAUGUUUCUUCAAAAAAUGAGCCCGAUACUUCUGAAAACUUCCCCGGUCAGUUGGAAUUUCGGAAAAAGGUGUCUUCAAAGUUCUACGACUCUGUCACCGGCUUACGUAGCCAGCGCACAGGCCGCGAACCGGCGGGCAAGAGUGGCCCUGGCUGCUGCAUACCGUGGCCUUGACAAGCUAGGUUUGAACGAAGGGGUUUGUAAUCACCUAACCUUGAGGGCGCCCGCCGCCAAUGGAGAGGGCGAAGUACUGUUGCUUAUUCCAUAUGGACUUCACUGGUCUGAGGUGACAGCUUCUUCACUGCUGGGUCUAAACGAGAAGAAUAAAGUGGUUGAAGGGGAUGGACCAGCCGAGAUAUCCGCGGCUUCCAUACACCGAGGCAUUCACAACGCUAGAAGUAAAGACAUCUCAUGUGUGAUGCACACUCAUAUGCCUUACGCCACAGCGCUGGCGGUUUUACAGGACCCCACUCUUCGCAUGUGUCACCAGAAUUGUCUCCGAUUCUACGAUAAUAUUGCUUAUGACACGGACUACCAAGGUCUUGCUGAGGAUGUCUGCGAGGGAGACCGCAUGGCAAGGGCACUGGGCAAAAACGACGCCAUGAUCAUGAGGAGUCACGGGGUCAUGGUUGUAGGUCCAACUGUCGCGAGAGCCUUUGACACAAUGUACUACUUGGAGAGGGCCUGUCAAAUACAGGUUAUGGCAAUGUGGACGGGCAAGCCACUGGUUGAAAUAGAAGAAGAAAUGUGCAAGAAAUCGAAGGCAGUCAUGGACCGUUUAAACGACGAGUAUGCAAGGGCAUUCUUUGACAGCCUCCUGCGACGAUUGCGAAAGGAAUGUCCAGAUUUUGAAAACUAAAGCUGCUCCUUUUGCUUGUUAACUGAAGCUGUCGUGGCUUUGAAAAGCAAUACACGCGCGUGGAUAUGGUGACAAAUUUGAGUAAAUCUAUGUUAUUUGCUACACAAUUUGUAAUAAUCAGUCCCUUAGCUUCUGAUUCCGAUGCGGACUGUCUUGCAACUGACAACGUUGCUGUCUGCAUCAAGGCAGACUGACAUUUGAUACAUGAUUUGCCAUCUGCGAUGAAUCAGAAGGUUAUGGUUAUUGGUACUGCCUUGAACUUCUAUAGCGAUGACAGAACAGUACAGGCCAUUGAAAACAACAUACGUAUUCGACAUAGCUUCAACUAAUUAAGUGAAGCCUUGUCCGCAGUUUUAGAGAGCAAGUUACUUUUUUAUGGCGAUAAGGUUUUAUCUCCCGAUGGGAAAUAUGGCAGAGCAACAGCGCGUUAAGUUCGUAUUUACAUUAACAUAUCAGUGAAGCCAACAGCAUUGGUAUUUCAGUAGAAAUCAAUCUAUAUUACCGUCAAACGAACCGUUCAGUGACAUGUGAAAUUACUUACAGUAUUUUGAACAUAUUUGUAUUGUGGGAAAAAUGUGUUAAUGCUCAGUCUCGAGUUAAGGGGAGGAUGACAAAUUUGUGGGGGUCGUUUGACCAUUGUUUGAACUUAUAGUACAUUAGACAAGCGUUACAUCGUGAUGAUUUUUUUUACAAUAUCUAGUAGUUCAGCGACAUGCCUUGAGCAAUGUAUAUACGCCAAGUGGAGGAGACCCAAGUGAAGGCAGAAGCCGAUGGCUUCGCUACAUCGCCUUUUACUCGGGAUAUUACUUGUAUGACAAGCGUCUGUUGCUGUGAAGAUAGUGUCACCGUCAGUUCUUAAACACUCGUUGGGUUAAAGGGAUUUCUUCACACUGUAUGCGUAAAUAUUUCUGACAAGAAAACAUCCUUCCGUCGGUCACCGUUAUCAAUACUGCAAAAACAACAUUUGGGAAAUUAAACAACAGCAAGAUUAUUCUGACGAAUGAUGUUUGAAAAACAUACCAUGUUUAUUGAUUAAACAUGUAUGUACAAUCAUAGUUCAUUCCGUUUUUUUUUUCAGCUCUAUCCAAUUAUUCCAACAUACUUUACUGAUGUCUCAAGGGCUUAUUAACCAGCAUUCAAGCAAAGACAGUACUAAUUCUACUCAAUUUUGAAUUUUUUUAUGAAGUGAAAGUGCAUUGGAUGUACAUUGUUAUGUUAGCGUUAAU